GAUCUGUUUGAAAGGUCCUUUUGGAUCGCUAGAGGAUGGUCUUGCGGCGUAUUAGCUUGUUGGUAGGGUAGAAGCCUACCAAGGCAAUGAUGCGUAGCCGAGUUGAGAGACUGGCCGGCCACAUUGGGACUGAGACACUGCCCAAACUCCUACGGGAGGCUGCAGUAGGGAAUUUUCCGCAAUGCACGAAAGUGUGACGGAGCGACGCCGCGUGUGUGAUGAAGGCUUUCGGGUCGUAAAGCACUGUUGUAAGGGAAGAAUAACUGAAUUCAGAGAAAGUUUUCAGCUUGACGGUACCUUACCAGAAAGGGAUGGCUAAAUACGUGCCAGCAGCCGCGGUAAUACGUAUGUCCCGAGCGUUAUCCGGAUUUAUUGGGCGUAAAGCGAGCGCAGACGGUUUAUUAAGUCUGAUGUGAAAUCCCGAGGCCCAACCUCGGAACUGCAUUGGAAACUGAUUUACUUGAGUGCGAUAGAGGCAAGUGGAACUCCAUGUGUAGCGGUGAAAUGCGUAGAUAUGUGGAAGAACACCAGUGGCGAAAGCGGCUUGCUAGAUCGUAACUGACGUUGAGGCUCGAAAGUAUGGGUAGCAAACGGGAUUAGAUACCCCGGUAGUCCAUACCGUAAACGAUGGGUGCUAGUUGUUAAGAGGUUUCCGCCUCCUAGUGACGUAG
rnacentral:rRNA from 1 species